ensembl:lncRNA
GGAGAAUCAGGCCAGAGAAAGCCUUCUGGAGGAAUCCUCCCCAAAAGAGGGUUAAACAUCAGAAGAGUAGAGAGCCUAUGCGGGGUAUCAAGCAUUUGAAGAUCAGAUGAAGAGAGAGGUUGAUACUUGCAGAAGUAGACAGAGAGGUGCCAGCCUGUGUACCUCUUUGCUGAAGGGCUUGCCAAAGCACCUGGACCCUGCUGCUUGUGCCGAAGUUGAUAACCAUCGCAGAUGUUCCCUUCUGAGAAAUGACCUUGACUAAUGUCUGCAGCUGAUGUGUACAAAGGCCGGCCCUCUUCCCUCAAGGUGAGAGCAACUCUCUGAUGAAGUUCAUCCCCCCAGGCUUCUCCAGGGAUCAGGCUGAAGCUGGUCUCCA